GAGAGAGAGAGAGAGAGAGAGAGAGAGAGAGAGAGAGAGAGAGAGAGAGAGAGAGAGAGAGAAGAUAAAUAUAUUUGCCUCGAGUCCUCGAAGCUCAAUUUAUCGUGACGAAUGUCCCAACCUGGCACAUUUAUUUUUCAUGCUAUCUUUUCAUUCCCUCGGGAAAUCCAUUUCGGGAUUUCUUACUGAUAAAAAACUUCGGUACUCGGGAUACAUUAAUCCGAUCGAGUGUGAGCUACCUGGACCCGGUACUGGACAUUACGCGCAGUUCGAACAAGACACGCCUUCGAGCACGAACAGCUGAACAAUAAUUAAUACAACGCAAAGUAUGUACGCAUCGCCGUUAGCCCUAAAUAAUUAAAGAUACAUAGAAAGUCUAAGAUGAAUCGCACGCACUUACGAAUAUUAAAUUUAAUGUAAACGAGAUACAAGUUUUAACUGAAACGUCAAUCACUGCCAAUAACUAUGUUAAAGUCUGCGCCGUCGUCGUCGAGAACCGAGAGCAGUUUGCUGAAAUUACCAAACGGCAAGUGCACGCGGAGUUAGUGUGAGAGAAAUGGGGGAAAUAAGGGAUGAAAAAGAAAAAGAAGAUAUUAAUGGGAAUCGAAAGAGAAUGGGAAAAUGGGUGAGACCGUUAGAGAACGCGAGAAUGAAAGUGAGAGCGAGUGUUACAUGCGUGCGAGAGGUAGAAAGAGAGCGAACGAUCGUACGAACGAACCGCGAGAGACUGAGAGUACACAGAUGGUAACAGAGAGAGAAAUAGGAGAUGAUACUUUGAAGGAUCCUUCACCGUUCACCGGGAAGUCGUUUCUGCCGUAGAGACGAAAAAUCGCACGGCUCGAGAACUCGUCGAUGCUUACGAAAGCAGCGAAGUGUCUGGAUGAGUGAAAGAUACGAGAAAAAUGAAUGAGAGAGAGAGAGAGGGGAGAUGAGCCUUAGAGAAUGAACAGAGAUAGUAAAACGACAGAGGGUGAAUCGGUAUCGAAACUCCGGCUUGGAUUUACCUUUGCGAAACUACCCCCCGCUUACGAGGGAACAAUAAUAUCCGUGGUGCCAAAUCCCGUGUGCAUGUGGGAUAUCGAGUGCGUGCGCGUGUGUCCUGCGAGUGGACGCGUAACUUCCGGUAAAGAAAGCCACGACUUUUAACCGUAGCUUGGGAGAUCAGCCCUAACCUAAAGGGGAAAACUAUGGCCGACAGUUUAAGGGUUCCUGCGCACCCUCUAUAUCAGCCAGCAGCCUCCCUGUCCCACCCCUGUGUCUAAUUAAAACGAAACCGUGGCUCGCUCGUCGCCUGAGCGAUUUUUUACAGCCACCCUGUAAGAAAAGGUAGAAAAAUAAGGAAAAGAAAGAAUCCAAAAAAUAAUUCCCUCCUCGCGAUAACGAUUCUCCGUGAGGCACGUUCAGCCAGCCUCUAUGCACAGCGUCGACGUCGUCCUCGUGGAAGAAGACCACGACGACGGUGGAGCUAAUUUGCGUCCCUGGAGAAAAUCGAUCUUGGGUCCGCGUAGACGCUACAAAGGAAGCGAGAGCAGGUACGUCAAUGUCAUUACUCUAACGCAAUGUAAUCCAACGUAAAAGGGUGAAAUGGGGAGCGCGAGACUGCAACGGACGACCCGGUCUCCGGGCGAAGAGUGGCCGAGGGCGAACGUGUGCAUAGUUGGUGAAAGAUCGAAGGAACGGCAGGAGGGGGGAUCGACUAUGGGAUGCUGAGGAUGGACCGAGGCAGACUGUAAGAGAAAAUAUUAUUUAAUGCGGAAAUGAAAAAAGGUCGUGGAAAAUCUUGAACGAGAUAUUGACUCACUCUGGGGCCAGUUUGCGUAAUCGUGGAAUCUUUUCGUUCGUCGAAUUGCCGAUCGUUUACUUGAUGCCAGGACGAUUGCGGGUAGUUAAUUUGUUAUGACGUCAGAUGGACGAAUAUGCAAACGUAGACGGGGACAAUGACGUGAACGCAAUGGUAAGUAGUCGCGUCUCCGGGCAGACUCGUUCAAAAACGGAAAGUGUAGCGGGGGGAGGGAGCGAAAGGGAGAGAAAGGGGAAACGUAAAAAGUAACCUUUUAUGAAAAAGACUAACCUUACCUGAAGCAGAAGAAACGAAAAUACUAAAUUUUAAAUGUUCAGUGGCCAAAUAAAUUAUAAUUGAUACACACGUAGCACGUAAUUGUACCUAUUAGCGGUAUGAGCGAGGGUGAAUGCCAGGGGGAUGAAAGUGACUCAGGGUGCAAAUGAUAGGCGAUACGUGCGAAUGGAGAGAGAAUGAGGAGAGAGAGAGAGAAUGAAUGAAAGAAUGAAAAAGUAAAAAAAUCGGUGACACACCGAAACGAGAAAACUCUAAGUUUGUAUAUCGUGCAAUUUUCUUUUUUCGAUGUUUCAUUAUUUGUUACCACGUUCAACAUUAAUUAGAGUAUUUACAAUUUUAGGUAAUUAAACCGUAAGCCGGAUGUUUUUUGAUAGCCAUAUUAAAAAAUCGAUGAGUUAUCCCAUCGUCGAUGAGGCGUCAGCACGUGUCUGGCUUCCUGCGAAUUCUUCUCCUUCCUCCUUUACUCUUAUCUCCUCGUUAACUUUUCACUUCUCCUUCCUCGCUCCUACAUUGGUACACUCCCACGUAUUUCGCACGAUUCAACGAAUUCCCCGAGAUAAAUUCGUCAACUAAAUGAAUUUACCCCGACCGACAAUAUUUCUUCGUCCAUCGUAUAUCCGUAAUCCCAGCGAAAGCAAUACUCACUCAGCGAGUAAAUUAAAUUGUGAAAACAAAAAUUUAAUUUAACAAAAAAAAGAGCCAUUCCAACUUCGCAGCACGGAUCAUAAUUUCUUUAGGAAUUAAAAAAAAAGAAAGUUCCAAAGCAAGGAUUAGAAUUCGCAACGAAGUAUCGUCAAGGUUAUCGCCUACCCGCGACACGCCGCCAUUAUAAAUACCCAGAGAACGAAAUUUAAAAAAAAAAGAAAGAAAGCGCAUCGUUUCAAAGGGAUAACAAUGUAAUUGAAUAGUUGCGAUACCUUUAAGUAAAAACAUAGGCUAAAGAUCUAACGAGAUAGAUAUUUAGAUAGGCUAGGCAUAAGCAUCUAAACGAUAUAAAGAGUCUAGCCGGCGUAUCGUUGUACGAGGUAUGAUAACUAUAAUAAAUGUUUAUGAUACUCGCGUACAAUAAGAUGGAAAACACUAAAGUGGUAAACGAAAAAGAAAAAAAAAAAAAGAAGAGCAACCGAUACAAUUGUCAUUGUAUUAUCGUGGUCUAAGGUAUUUUCAGUCAUGUUGUAUAGUAACUGUAAAGUAAACGAUAAACGAUUUUUAGGUAAACGACGCGUAAUACAUUUACACAGCCCGACACACAAAAAAAUAAUAAAGAUCCAACUGCACAUGGAUACACUCCUGACAGGAUAACACUGUAUAACAGAUACGACGCAAACAUCGCUCGAUCGAAACUGUACAGUGACACGUGUCUGUUGCGAAUUAGAGGCAAAGGAGUAAAAUUGAAGAGUCAAAAAUAGAUGAGAAAUAGAACAGCCAUUAAGAACACGCUGUAGCGACUGUGUGAUGCUGGUUGCUACCCCCAAUAACACGUGGCCCAUAUAAGAUGUCGGAUUUAAAAAAAAAAAAACAAAAGACAGCAACAAGGAACGACAAUGAGAAUGAUAAGAGAUACAGAUAAACGUACACAGCCGCGAGUCAAACGUUUAAGGGAGUGAAAAAUAUUACCAAUCACCAAUUUACAUUUAUACGUUACGAGAAGUAUUAAUUGGCCGUAAUGCAAUGCGCACCGUGUGAUAGUGACGAUUAUUUUAUUUUUAUUAUUAUUAUCAUUAUCGUUAUUAUUAUUAUUAUCAUUAGUCUAUCUCUCUUCUCUCUCGCUCGUUUGUCAGCUUCGAACUAAAAAUUGUAUUCCGUUCCGGAACGAAAAAGGGAAACACGUGAACCGUACUUGUACCGUUUCAUUGUCAUUGGCUAAAUUUAUUAUCGCGCCCUCGAGACGAAAAGUGCUUAUUUCCUUUUCUCACUUUUACUUUUUUUUCUUUUAUCCUUCUUAUUUCAGUUUACCCUUUUUGCUUGUAACGCUCGCCGAGUGUAGUUAUCGGGAACUUUAGUCAGAACGAUUUUGCACGACAGCUGGUAAACCCUAGAGACCGUUUUCUCAGGCUGGCAAAGCACCGUUCCCGUUUUACGUGUCGUUUUCGAAAACAAGGGUUGACUGUACCGAAACUGUGGUGCACCCUGUCGAAAAUAAAGGUGAAACGCGGAAUUUUCUUCUCUGUAAAAGUCCUCUCUCAUUUUGUUUCAACGUUUUCCCUUGGUUCUUUCUGGUGCACGAGUUUUCAUUUUUUUUUUCUUUUUUUUCUUUUUUACAUUUGACUUGUACAAGUCGACGCUAUCGCAAGAUGUGCGCGUUGUGGAUACGAUUGAAAUAUUACAACCGAACUGAUAAACCUAAUAUUAUUUUUAGAAGAGCUCUGUGUUAAAAAGAGAUUAACAAAAGUAAUUAAAGAGUGAGAGAGAGAGAGAGAGAGAGAGAGAGAGAGAGCGUGAAAGCCAGCGAGAGUGAGGGAGAGAAAGAGUGUCCGAAUAAGAGAGAUAGCGAGGUAAAGAAGAAAACAAAAAUGAAAGCGAUAAACGAGGGGAUGAUAAAGCGUAAGAGGGAAACGAAAUGAAAUAAUAACAAAACGUAAAGUACUAAUAAAGAUACGAUGGUUCUGUGAGGUAAGAUUAAAAAGCGAAAAAGGAGGAUGCGAAGCUUAAGGGGGAAAAAAAGAAAAAAAAAAUGAAAUACCUAUAUUUUUAAAAAGUGACCUUUGGCAUUUAAAGACUUGUAAAAAUCGUGCAACGAGUUAAGUAAAGUGAAAAAAAAA